UACAGAGGUCCCAAGCGUUGUUCGGAUUCAUUGGGCGUAAAGGGUGCGUAGGCGGCGCGGUAAGUCGGGUGUGAAAUCUCGGGGCUUAACUCCGAAACUGCAUUCGAUACUGCCGUGCUUGAGGACUGGAGAGGAGACUGGAAUUUACGGUGUAGCGGUGAAAUGCGCAGAUAUCGGGAGGAACACCGGUGGCGAAGGCGGUUCUCUGGGCCUGUACUGACGCUGAGGAGCGAAAGCGUGGGGAGCGAACAGG
rnacentral:rRNA from 1 species